rnacentral:rRNA from 1 species
UACGAACUGUGCGAACGUUAUUCGGAAUCACUGGGCUUACAGGGUGCGUAGGCGGCUAUUCAGGUCAGGUGUGAAAGCCCCCGGCUCAACCGGGGAACUGCGCUUGAAACCGAGUGGCUCGAGUCAGCUAGAGGUACACGGAACUUCCAGUGGAGCGGUGAAAUGUGUUGAUAUUGGAAGGAACACCGGAGGCGAAAGCGGUGUACUGGGGCUGGUCUGACGCUGAGGCACGGAAAGCCAGGGGAGACGAACCGGGGAGUUA